AAUUUUCAACCCAGGGCUGAGUUCAACCCCGGGGUUGAAAUUUCAACCCUGCUUAUUUCAGCUAGCAGGCCCGGUUGAAAUUUCAACCCCAGGGUUGAACUCAGCCCUGGGUUGAAAA